CGCCUCUGCCUCACUUCAGCCUCGGACACAGCAGACGGAGCUUCAAAGAGCUGGCGGACGGACAGAGACGAGGAGCGCUGUGAUGUUGAGUCGCUGGGUCGUGCCGGCUGAGCAAGACUUUGAUGGAGUAACAGCUUAAAACAGCUCAAUUCGGAAGAGAAAGAGCGCGCGUGCUCCGCCAGGACUAAGAAAAAAAAAAGAAAAAAAAAAAAGAAAAUGCUGUUCUAGCGCGAGCGCACACUGGUUUCUUCUCCCUUCUUCUUUCUGCUUUGGACCUUGAGCAACUUUUGUUUCCGCCGUGUUUAAGCCCGCAGUCCAUUUGACCCGUUUACUUGGAGCGUGAAAAGCCGCGGACGAGAUGGAGAGCGAGAAGUACCUCCCGGAGCUUCUGGCGGAGAAGGACACGCUGGACCCGUCCUUUCAGCACUCCCUGCGGCUGCUGGAGCAAGAGAUUGAAAAAAUCCAGAGAGAUGAGGGGAAGGAGGAGGAGAAGUUUAUUGACGUCGUCAUCAACAAGAACAUGAAACUGGGCCAGAAAGUUUUAAUACCAGUCAAGCAGUUUCCUAAAUUUAACUUUGUCGGCAAACUCCUGGGGCCACGCGGGAACUCGUUAAAGAGACUACAAGAGGACACCCUCACAAAGAUGUCGAUUCUCGGAAAGGGAUCCAUGAGAGACAAAGAGAAGGAAGAAGAGCUACGGCAGAGCGGCGAGGCCAAAUAUCACCAUCUGAACGAAGACCUACACGUCCUCAUCGAGGUGUUUGCUCCACCAGCUGAGGCCUACGCCAGAAUGGGUCACGCUCUGGAGGAGAUCAAGAAGUUUCUCAUACCAGAUUACAAUGAUGAGAUCAGACAGGCCCAGCUGCAGGAGCUCACAUACCUGAACGGCGGCUCCGAGGAUGCCAAGGUGCCAUCGGUCAGGGGCAAGUCAGCCGCCCGUGGCAGGGGGACACCUGUUCCGGGGCCUCCAAGGAGUCGUGGAGGAGUUCCUCCCCUGCAUGCAGCAGUCCCCAGAGGGGCAGCACCCCGAGGAGCCCCACCCAGCCGGGCCCCGUCCUCCAGAGGGAGAGGAGUCCAGAGAGCCAGAGGCACCCUCCCAGCUGCCAGCUACAGGGCGGCUCCGCCCAUAGUACAGGACACAUACGGUGAAUAUGACUACGACGACGGCUACGGAACUGCUUACGAUGACCCAGGAUAUGAGUCUUACGACAACAGCUACAGUAAUCAAGGACAAAACUCAGAUGACUACUAUGAAUACGGACACAGCGGGGAGUCAUACGAGUCGUAUGGUCAGGAAGAGUGGGCAAACAGUCGCGGCAAGGCUCCGUCGGUGCGGACGACCAAAGGAGCGUACAGGGACCAGCCAUACUCCAGAUAUUGAACUGUUUAUACGAGCCGCACCCGAGUCCUCAUGGCGGUUUCAACUCAAGUAAUGGAUUUUUUUAUGGACGCUCCCACCUUUUUAGAAUCGAAAAGCAAUCCGCGAAGUAACACAAACAAAACACUGAACUGAAAGUAAUGGAAUGCCCCCCUAAUUAUAAACGAAAAUCGUACCCUGACUUGGCAAAAAUCCGUAAAGCGGUUUAGGUAAGCCGCCCCUCCCCUCAGUAGAAUCGACAGAACGUUAAGGCCAAGAACGGCUCCAUAGUACAUUAAGUUUCUCUCUCAGCUAUGUGAUUGUGAAGAAUGACAUUGUAUCAAGCUAUUGUACUUGGUAAUGAUCAGUGAGCCACUGUAAGCUGUUGGAUACAAUGUUUCCACACAGCUGCCAGUGCAACUUAAUUUAUCAGCCUCUAUUCUUUAGACCUCUGAAAUGUUAGUAGAUUAGUCCUAGGAAAGUGCAGUACUGUAGAUAUUUUCUCCUGAAGGAUAAUUGGUGAACUUUGUGUCCCUUGUAAAUGAAACAUUUGCAAACUGGAAAAAAAAAAAAGAGAAAAGUCAUUCUGUAUACACAUUGUAUUGCUGUUCCUUCCUUUUUUUAUGUAAAAUAACAGUCCAGUAAGUGUUAAAGGGCUUAUAAAAGCAUGGUGUGCAACUGUGGAUCUUGCCAGCUGUUUAAAAAGCCUGUGUAGUUGUGAUCGUUCGCUAAGCCCCCCAAACAUCUCCUUAAGUCCAUCUAUAAAUAGCUGCGCCUACUUUCUUGUGCACUGAGCCGCCAUAACGGGGGGAACAGUUUGGGAGAUUUUAAAUGUCUGUCAUUCUUUUUAGACGCUCCUGCUGAGCAAUUGUGAUGCUUGUUGUAUUUUUUUUUUUUUUUUUUUUUUUUUUUUAGAAUAUUUAACAUGAUAUAGUGCUGGUAAAAAGUUUACAUUCCCUCACCUUACUCAUGAAUGUCGUAUAAACUAUGAGCUUUGUGUGACGCAUUUGAAUCCAUCUUUUUUUCAGGGUACAAUGAAUAUACAGAACAGGUUUUUUGGAGCAUUUUUAAAAUGCAAAACUGGUUGCACCAGUUUGAAUUUUGUCCAGAUUUACUCCCAGCUGGGACAAAAAUAUAUACAGGCUCAAAUGGAUACAUAUCCUUCCACCAUUCUCAUUAGAUAUGUGGUUCCAAUCUGCAGAGAAACUACACGUUCUUUAGCCUCCACAACUCUGCCUGCAUGUUUGACCACUUUUAAUAUCCAAACUGAGUAAAGUUUUAAAUUAGGCAGGUUUCUGGAGCGACACGUAGUGUAGAGGUAAGGCAGGUGCCCUAUUUACGAUCACUUAUACUCCUCGACGUAUGUCCCCCCUCCCCUUAUAAACCUUUGAGUUCAUUAGGUUUGUUUCCUUCACAAAUAAUCAGAAAAUUCUCCUCAUCUCAGCUAAUGUCUGGAUCCUGACAAUAUGUCCUGCGAGUUCACCUGAGAGCAGAUAUCUUCUAUCUGGUGGAGAAAAAAUUGUUCAGACUUUUUGUAAAAUAUCUGACAAACCAGAUACCAAGACAUCAGUAAUCUGUAGAAGAGUUUGUGUGACUGACUGGCUUCUGGAGAUUUGUUCUACCAUGCCGUCGGCUCCCUGAAAGCUGAAAAGUUAUGAUGCACCUGUAUGGUCCAAUAAUCUUAUUCAGUGAUAUUAACCCAAUAAGUCAUGCAGAUUUUGACCACCUGACCAAAACUGCCACCCUCAGAGGGAGGAAAAUGAUGAAGGAUGUUCAAGAAGAACCCUAGAACCACCAAAUCUGAAGCCAAUCAAAAACUGGAACCUGCUCGAUCUGUAGAGUCCGCAGUAAAGCAAUUGUUUUUUUUUUUUUGUUUCUUUUUAUUAAGAAUGGUGGUGGUCUGGUUCUCUGUCAGAGCUACUGCAUUGUACAAACUUUGUAGCAUAAUAAAGACAAAAGACAACCUACGAACUCUUCAGCUUCCCCUCAGCUAGAUGCUUAAAAUUUCAACAUCAUUGGGUGUUCAAGCAGAUCAAUGAUCUCCACAGCAACAGACCCUGACCUAAAUCCUGUUGGGGAUUUAUGAAAUAUCCUUAAAAGCCUUGAAAGCGCCAACAAGGCACCCAAUUUUAAGGAAUUCAAUCAGUUCAGGCAGAAUUAUGCCAGAACUUGGCCACAAACCUUUGUAUUUUCUCUACAACUUGCUAAGAGACAUUUAACCAAUCUAAAAUGGGAGGUAUAUGUAUUUAAUUAAGCUUGUACGCAUAAUUUUGAUCACACAUGGAUGAGGGAAAAUCCACAAGAAAUUCAAACUUGUGCUCACAUGUUUUUUUUUUUAUUUACUGAAGUUGCUUAUUCCAUUACACCCUGACAAAAAAGAGCAGUUAAAAUGCCCAAAAUGAUGACAUUCAUGCACAUAAUAGGUGUAUGUAAACUUCUGACCAGAGCUGUACCUUUACUCUUCUGAACCCCUGUUUUUGAGUUUCAAUCUCAUCACCCAUCUCUCCAUCUAUCCUUCAGAGACAUGUUCAACUCUAUGGAUUGUGAGCUUAUGCCGAGGUCCCAGCUGAACACCACUGUCUGUCCAGGCAUGCUGCUGCUGCUGAAGGAUUAAAGAACAACUGAGAAGUCUCCCUCCAAACACUAAGACCAGAACAUUGCCCGACCGAAUCCCGACGGAAC